rnacentral:rRNA from 1 species
GAUCCUGGCUCAGGAUGAACGCUAGCUACAGGCUUAACACAUGCAAGUCGAGGGGCAUCGGGAUGUAGCAAUACAUUGCCGGCGACCGGCGCACGGGUGAGUAACACGUAUCCAACCUGCCUUUUACUCGGGGAUAGGCUUUCGAAGAAAGAUUAAUACCCGAUGGUAUAAUAUUCCUGCAUGGGAUUAUUAUUAAAGAAUUCGGUUAAAGGAUGGGGAGUGCGUUCCAUUAGGCAGUUGGCGGGGUAACGGCCC